rnacentral:miRNA from 1 species
UUUCCUUCUCUCUCUCUCUCUCUCUCUCUCUCUCUCUCUCUCUGUGUGUGUGUGUGUGUGUGAGAGAGAGAGAGAGAGAGAGAGAGAAUGGGGGAGAGAAAGAGU